CCUACGGGUGGCUGCAGUGGGGAAUAUUGCACAAUGGGCGCAAGCCUGAUGCAGCCAUGCCGCGUGUGUGAAGAAGGCCUUCGGGUUGUAAAGCACUUUCAGCGGGGAGGAAGGCGUUAAGGUUAAUAACCUUGUCGAUUGACGUUACCCGCAGAAGAAGCACCGGCUAACUCCGUGCCAGCAGCCGCGGUAAUACGGAGGGUGCAAGCGUUAAUCGGAAUUAUUGGGCGUAAAGCGCACGCAGGCGGUCUGUCAAGUCGGAUGUGAAAUCCCCGGGCUCAACCUGGGAACUGCAUUCGAAACUGGCAGGCUAGAGUCUUGUAGAGGGGGGUAGAAUUCCAGGUGUAGCGGUGAAAUGCGUAGAGAUCUGGAGGAAUACCAGUGGCGAAGGCGGCCCCCUGGACAAAGACUGACGCUCAGGUGCGAAAGCGUGGGGAGCAAACAGGAUUAGAUACCCUAGUAGUC
rnacentral:rRNA from 1 species